rnacentral:rRNA from 1 species
AUCGCUCUUUGUAAAUAUAAAAUAAGGAGUCGUACCUGCCCGGUGAAAAAUUUAACGGCCGCAGUACCCUGACUGUGCAAAGGUAGCAUAAUCAUUUGCCUUUUAAUUGAAGGCUGGAAUGAAUGGUUUGACGAAAUUCUUCUGUCUCUAUCUUAUUAAAUAGAAUUUAAUUUUUAGGUGAAGAAGCCUGAAUGAAGUCAAAAGACGAAAAGACCCUGUCGAACUUUAGAGUAAUUAUGAAAUUAUAUGCUUUUUAGAAUAAAUGUUUUUUAGAAUUUCUCUUUUGUUGGGGUGACAGAAGAACAGAUAAAGCUUCUUUUAGUUGAGGAAACUUAUAUGUUGAAAAGAUCCAUAAAAAUUUAUGAUAGUAAGAUGAGUUACCGCAGGGAUAACAGCGUUAUUUUUCUGGAGAGUUCAAAUUGAAGGAAAAGAUUGCGACCUCGAUGUUGGAUUGGAAUACCUAAUAGGCGGAGAAGCUUGUUGUUGGGGGUCUGUUCGACCUUUAAAUUUCCACAUG